CCUUGUACACACCGCCCGUCACACCAUGGGAGUCAACUGCUCCAGAAGUCGGUGACCCAACCCGCGAGGGGGGAGCCGCCUAAGGAGUGGUUGGUGACUGGGGUG
rnacentral:rRNA from 1 species